rnacentral:lncRNA from 1 species
GUCACUGCUUUAGCUAGAGUCGCAGGUGCCUCCUCAAAGUUCAGAGAGGAGGCCGACUUAUCAGAGCCAUCCUAGGGCCCAACCAAUCAGGCGGCAAUCUCCAAGCCCCCGAUCAGGGCAUGAUUCAACCCUUUGUCGCCACUCUCUUCUGUGCUUCGAGGCAUGCACCGUCUGAGAUCUCAACAUCGAAAAGUGGUUCAAGAUGC